GACGAACGCUGGCGGCGUGCUUAACACAUGCAAGUCGAACGGAAAGGCCCUGCUUGCAGGGUACUCGAGUGGCGAACGGGUGAGUAACACGUGGGUGAUCUGCCCUGCACUUCGGGAUAAGCCUGGGAAACUGGGUCUAAUACCGGAUAGGAGCCAUUUUUAGUGUGAUGGUUGGAAAGUUUUUUCGGUGUAGGAUGAGCUCGCGGCCUAUCAGCUUGUUGGUGGGGUAAUGGCCUACCAAGGCGGCGACGGGUAGCCGGCCUGAGAGGGUGGACGGCCACAUUGAGACUGAGAUACGGCCCAGACUCCUACGGGAGGCAGCAGUGGGGAAUAUUGCACAAUGGGCGCAAGCCUGAUGCAGCGCCGCCGCGUGGGGGAUGACGGCCUUCGGGUUGUAAACUCCUUUCGCUAGGGACGAAGCUUUUUGUGACGGUACCUAGAUAAGAAGCACCGGCUAACUACGUG
rnacentral:rRNA from 1 species